GGAGACACUUCAGACGGCGGGGGUGCUCUGUCUUUACUGGGCUACUGCGAUUACACUCCAGGUCAAACAACACACUGGACUGAAACUUUUGUUUGCCUCAGUGGUUUAUUUGGACCGACCAGCCUCCGUCUAGCAGCCACAAUGGGAAGUUGUCGUCUGAAAUCAGUGACUGUCAGUGUGGUCCUUCCAGUGUUUUCUUCCCUUGUAGUUGUACUCGAGGACAGCAGAGGAACCAGUGAGCUGUGAGCCUGAGAGUGUCUGACAUCGUCGCCUCAGAUCAACGUGAUCACAGCAGAAACUUAACUCCUAACUUCUUCCAUAUCAACACACAUACACAAGGGACUGUUUGUGACCUUAAAUAAAACAAUAUAAAUCUACCACAGUGAUAUAAUUUACUGUAAGAUUUAAUCAGCCAGUUUGAGAGAGUAAAACCUCACAACCCAGAUGACUCGUCAUACCAUUUAUAGGUAUGUUCCACUUUGAAAGUAUUCCCUUCACUAUGUCGGGGUACAAGUGACUCAUAUACUGUUGUGCAAUAAUAAUCCUUCAGGACCACUUUUAUUGCUCACAUUUUGACAUUCAAUUCACGUUCCCACUCACACACCUUCAUCAAUAAAAGCUUUGUGGUGUUUAAUAAAAUUAUUCGUACAAAGCGAAACAAAGAAAACAAAACACUCAUGUCUUUGAUUUCACUAUGAAUCACCUAAAAGACGACACUUCUUGGUAGAAACAUGCAACUUGUCUUUUUUCUUUGUAUUAUUCUUACACACACCUCUAAGGGGCACAGUUCUCACACACAUAGUAACACAUACAGGUCAAUGUGAGAGCGGGGGACGUUUUCCAUCCUGUGACUAUUUCAAACAUAUGAAAACAGAAGGAUGCUGCGGUCGUGCAGUUAUCAGUGGCGUGUGUGCACUGUUAAAUCAGAUUUGAUAGUUACUAAUGUCAUUACACACUCUGUGUAUGACAUACUGUUGCUGCCAUGAGGAUGGUUUGACAGUACAGUGAUGCAUUCAAAUACACACUGUUUGUCCCACACCUGCAGCUGUUUCCAUGAUAACUUUAAUAAUAUGGACAUGUGCAAUUCAAUACAAGAACUCUUUGAUCUUUUGGUGACUCUGUUAAAAAAUAGAAGUCUGUAUUUAAGUUUCUUUUAUUUCAUAUUUACAGUGGAGCUCCAUAAAACUUAAUUAAAGGGACAGUUUGGAUUUUUUGAAGUGGUGUUGUAUGAGUUAUUCAUCCACAGUAGGGGUGUUGCGAUAUACUGGUAUUGACAACCGUUAAAUUUAAAAAAUUAAAUGUAGAUAUCAUGUUAAUCAUACACAUAUGAUAAUAUCAUGUAAAUAAAUCAGCACCUCUUAAAUCAUCUCCAUUUUAUUUCUGUUCUUGCUUUAUCUCCUUCCUCCUGCCAGACAGUACCCGCCUCCAUCAUCCUGCACAUUCCACCACUGUAUGUAGAAGCCGUCUCCACACAGGACGACCCUCUCCGUAUGUAAUACCGUCUCACUUCUCUCCCGUCUUCACCCCCACACCCCUCAGCCCGAUGCACAAUCAGCACAGGAAAGAACCGAGCAUCCCUAUAAG